rnacentral:lncRNA from 1 species
GUUGAUGACAAGGUAUGCAAGGUUCCUCUGUCCUCCGUCAGCGUCACUUUGCACAGGGCAAGCCUUUCUUUCCAGACUCAAUUCCACUAGCCCUGUUUCUGUGACACCCUAGUUACCCCAGGCGGUUACCAACUCUCUCCACUUUUUAAUUUACUUGUAUCCAUUCUGAGUGGUGCUUCGUGAGCUCCUUCAAGGGCAAAGAUCUUACCAUGAGUGAGACCUCCUACGCAACAGUUCUCAGCCAGAUCUUUGCCACUGUUUCGUGAUUCUUCCUGCCCCUUCUAAUAAGACUGUGUGUGUUCAUGACACAUGCAUGUUCACAGGCCACUCUAAGAAAUCCAGAAUGUUCAUCUUCUACCUGAGGAACCAGGAUCUGGACUCCUUGCUCUAAUAGGAGCGAUCAUGAUGCUUUCAGAUAAAUUCACACUGAAUUCUUACAAGCUUCUGUCCAGGGGAAAGCUGGCGGUGAGUGCUUGCUCUUUCCUCUUCAAUGAACCUGCUUUUCCAUCUUGGAAGAGGAUGAAAUGCACCUCUCAGAAUGCAAGUUUCCCUGCGGACACUAUCCCCAGUGGUGGAGUGAUGGAGAGAACUGAGAUGAGGUCAGGGAACAACUGAACUAAAAACUCACGAAAUGGAAGGUUUGGAAGGAAUUUUCACAAGUCACAGAGGCCCUUGGAAAUGUGUUUCCUGGUGGGAAACACAAAGCUGUGAGACAUGAGAUGUUCUCACUCUGGGUGCGAGUGGAAGGUCCAAGGGGAGGAAAUACCCCUCGCACCCCCACAAAAGUGUUUCAAGAGCCAAGUGGAAGGAUGCAGAGGCACAGCAUAGGGCUUCACUGUGGCUAUCCUGUCUUCAAUGCUGGCUGGACUGGAGAAUUCCCAGAAUGCUCUUGGACAUUGGAGUACUUCCUGCAGAUGGGAGGAGGUGGUCUGCCUGGGAGAAGCAAGUCACCUGGGUCACAUGGCACUUGACCUUCAAGACUAAACGAGAAGGAACGCCUGGUAGGAUGGGUGCUGUUUUUACGAAGUCCAGGAGGUCAAGCAAUGAGCCAUUGGGGUGAAUCACCGAACAGAACACUAAAGGGAGACUUUUGUUCCAAUCAUGAGUUUAGAGGAGAGUCUUAAAAUGGUAAGGACAAGUAAAUAUGGGGCAAGAAGCAUAACCGAGCCAAGAAAUGCUGGAGCAGAUGACAACUGAACAGUAGAAACCAGGCAGAGGCCAGCCCUACAGGGCCAGGGAGGAAAGAAACAGCAGACUGGAGAAAACAAUAAAAAGGGAGAAAAAGAAAUAUGGAGAUGGGGAGGAUGAAAUGGAAAAUAAAAACUCAAGGAAAAGGAUACCAUGUCUCCUUUUCAAAAAAUUUUAUUUUAUGUGUGUGAGUGUUGUGUUUGCAUGUUUGUCUGUACAGCGUGAGUGUUGUAUUUGCAUGUUUGUCUGCGCAGCAUGUGUGUGUGUGUGUGUGUGUGUGUGUGUGUGUG